GGAUCGCUAACUCAAUGGUUAGAGUGCUCGCCUGUUAAGCGAGGAGUUCCGAGUUCGAGUCUCGGGCGGUCCG
rnacentral:tRNA from 2 species